UACAGAGGCCCCAAGCGUUACUGAGAAUCACUGGGUUUAAAGGGUGCGUAGGUGGCGCGUUAAGUCCGUUGUGAAAUCCCUGGGCUCAACCCAGGAAUUGCUUCGGAUACUGGCGUGCUUGAGGCUAGUAGGGGUCACUGGAACUGACGGUGGAGCGGUGAAAUGCGUAGAUAUUCGCAAGAACACCAGUGGCGAAGGCGGCUCACUGGCCCGAUACUGACGCUGAGGCACGAAAGCGUGGGGAGCAAACAGG
rnacentral:rRNA from 1 species